rnacentral:snoRNA from 1 species
GGCCUCCUGGUACUUAUAACAGGCUGUGUUCUUACUCAAGACUGUAUAGAAGAGGAGGCAAAAUAAACCUACCCCAUACACACCUCAGCCCCAGGCCUGGUGCCUGGACCUUAUUGUGAAUGCAGACACAUGG